AUUGAACGCUGGCGGCAUGCCUUACACAUGCAAGUCGAACGGACUUAACCUAUAGUUUACUAUUGGAGCGGUUAGUGGCGGACUGGUGAGUAACGCGUAAGCAAUCUGCCUAUCAGAGGGGAAUAACAGUGAGAAAUCACUGCUAAUACCGCAUAAGCUGUGAGUAUCGCAUGAUACAAGCAGAAAAGGAGCAAUCCGCUGAUAGAUGGGCUUGCGUCUGAUUAGUUAGUUGGUAGGGUAACGGCCUACCAAGACGAUGAUCAGUAGCUGGACUGAGAGGUUGAACGGCCACAUUGGGACUGAGAUACGGCCCAG
rnacentral:rRNA from 1 species